rnacentral:rRNA from 1 species
GACGAACGCUGGCGGCGUGCUUAACACAUGCAAGUCGAACGGAGAGCGAGGGAGCUUGCUCCCUCCGGAUCAGUGGCGAACGGGUGAGUAACACGUGAGAAAUCUGCCCCGCACUCUGGGAUAAGCGUGGGAAACGACGUCUAAUACCGGAUAAGACGCGGGAGGACGUCGUCGCCGCGAGGAAAGAACUGCGGUUCGGGAUGGGCGCGCGGCCUAUCAGCUUGUUGGUGGGGUAAGGGCUCACCAAGGCGGCGACGGGUAGCCGGCCUGAGAGGGUGACCGGCCACAUUGGGACUGAGACACGGCCCAGACUCCUACGGGAGGCAGCAGUGGGGAAUAUUGCACAAUGGGCGGAAGCCUGAUGCAGCAACGCCGCGUGCGGGACGACGGCCUUCGGGUUGUAAACCUCUUUUGGCAGUGAAGAAGCGAAAGUGACGGUACCUGCAGAAAAAGCACCGGCUAACUACGUG